rnacentral:rRNA from 1 species
GCGGCGUGCUUCAUACAUGCAAGUCGAACGAGAAGCAGGAGCUUGCUCCUGUGGAAAGUGGCGGACGGGUGAGUAACACGUAGGAAAUCUGCCUUUGGGUGGGGGACAACAGUUGGAAACGACUGCUAAUACCCCAUAUGGGCUCGGUUGCAAUACCAAUCUUGAAAACUCCGGUGCCUAAAGAUGAGCCUGCGUCUGAUUAGCUUGUUGGCGGGGUAAUGGCCCACCAAGGCGACGAUCAGUAGCUGGUUUGAGAGGAUGAUCAGCCACAAUGGGACUGAGACACGGCCCAUACUCCUACGGGAGGCAGCAGUAGGGAAUGUUGCGCAAUGGGGGAAACCCUGACGCAGCAACGCCGCGUGAAUGACGAAGCCCUUCGGGGUGUAAAGUUCUGUCAGUAGGGAAGAAUUUUGACUGUACCUACAAAGGAAGCACCGGCUAACUCCGUGCCAGCCGCCGCAGUAA